CUUGAUAUGUGGACCUUUUUUUAUUUUUCUCUCUCUUUUUUUACACUGAAGUUUUUAAUUAUUUGAGUCCUUUUACUGAAGUUUUUAUUUGAGUUUGCAACAUUUUAAAUUGUAUUUAUAUCAACAGGUGGUGGAAUGAGUUCUGACCCUGGGGCAUGAGAGUGGUUGGACUUGGCUGGAGGUGGCUGCCUUCUCCCUUCAUCCUUGCAGUAGUUGGUGGUUGCCAUAUGGUAGCCUUGUGUUUCAGCCUACAAGUAAUUUUGUCCUGCUCAGGUACUACUGGUGAGGGUUGGAUUGGAGAUCUCCCUUGGCGUUGUUAGUUGGCUACCCACCGGUGCAGUGGGGCUGAGAAGUCCCUGGAGAGCAGACCCUGCACAUUGUAUUGAUGGAACUCCCUGACUUCAGUAAAUACGAGGUGGCAGACACUGUAAACUCAACAAAUUGGAGAUUUGUCUGAGUGCGUUUCCUGUUUGCUCUCCUUGAGAAAGAUAUCUAGUGAGUGCGUGUCCUUUCCUCCUUCAUGCAUGUAGUUGAGAAGUGUUGUCUUGUAUUUAGAUCCAACACCUUGCAAACAGGCUGAGUUUGAAAUCUCCAGAAGAAUGGAAAACCAGCGAGGUUCAGUAGCACAUCACCAUGUUCCAGCGGGAAAGUUGGGCUAGAAACCGCCAGUUCCCCACUUCACCAAGAGUUGCGUCUAGUCUCUCCCAGUCUGCUGCUGGUGAGCAUGAAUGUGGAUCAACAGAAAAACACCCCACCCACUUUUUCCAUGAAUGAAAUUGAGCUUUCAUGAUGCAUGCAUGAUUUAUGGAAUUCAUAAAUCUUUCUUGUGUUUGUGACUCGUCCAUGUGUUCAGAUGUCCGUUCAGGGUUUUAGCCAGUGUCUUUACAGGAAUUUGGCCGUGAGCUGUCCAAGAUUUUUGUAUUGUUGAGCGCUACACACUUUAGCCUUGUACUACAUAAAUUUUACAAAUUUGUGCGUUAUUUCUGCGAGACACUUACGAAUGUUUGUGGCUUUCCACGCAUGUCCAACAGACUUUUCACGCAUGUACCACCAAUGAACUUUUAUAUGACGUGUAAGACUUAUCAUGUUAAAAUUUGCACUACUGAUGCACUAAUCACAAAAAAACACCAUUCUCCUUAGAAUGGCUCUUUAAAGAGCAUUUCAUGUUUAAAAGUGUGUUUGCAUGUUUUGUGUGAUGCAUUUCUAUGUGUGCUCUUUGUAGUUCAACUUCAUAUUAUUGUAGUUCAUUUCCUGAACAUUUUCUUUAACACGAGUUAGGAAAAAUGUUUUCUUUUCAUAUACUGUAAUUUUUUGUAAGUACUUUAAGAACUUUGGAGUCCUAUACUGUUCAUAAUUAAAUAAAUAUGACCUCAUGCAAAUACACAGCC